rnacentral:rRNA from 1 species
AUAGCGUAUAUUUAAGUUGUUGCAGUUAAAAAGCUCGUAGUUGAACUUCAGAUUUGGUCGGGUGGUCCGCUUAACGGCGUGUUAUUGCUUGGCUGGGUCUUGUCUCUUGGUGAACCAUCGUGCCCUUUAUUGGUGUGCUUUGGUGAACCAGGACUUUUACCUUGAGAAAAUUAGAGUGUUCAAAGCAGGCCUAUGCCUGGAUACAUUAGCAUGGAAUAAUAGAAUAGGACGUGUGGUUCUAUUUUGUUGGUUUCUAGAAUCGCCGUAAUGAUUAAUAGGGAUAGUUGGGGGCAUUGGUAUUCAGUCGCUAGAGGUGAAAUUCUUGGAUUGACUGAAGACCGACUAUUG